AUGGUCAGCUUCACCACGGACCAUAUCAAAUUGUUGUACUACAGUGCUGAAUCUGCUAAACCAGACUCUCGGAGAUUGCUCAAGACCAUAAAGAGACAUGUGUAUCCUACAGACCAUAUUCAAGGACUCCGCCUGAGCAACAAAACCAGGUGGUUACUCCAUAUAUACUUCCUCUUCAAGAUCACCAUGUAA